UUCUUGGCCCCACCCCCUGAGGCCGCCCAAUCCCCUCCCCCGAAGCCUCCUCGCCCCUCCCUUGGCCCGGCGCGCCCUCCCUCUCCCCAGGCGGGCGUUGCCGCCGCCGCCGCCGCCGCCGCCCGCGCCGCGUUGGCCGGGCCGAGGCCGCCCUAGGUCCGGUCCCUCCCCCGGCGGCCUGGCGCCUCCCGCCCCCUCCCCGCCGCGGUGACUCCGGAGCGGGGGCGGAGGCUGCGCUGAGGCGGAGGCGGCCCGGCUGCUGCUGCUCCUGCUGCUCCCGCCGCCGCCGCCGCCGCCGCCCAGGCGGCCAGCCGCAGCGCCCGGAGCAGGCUGGGCCCGCCGCCCCGCGCUCCGGCCCCGGGGGCUGCCCAGGGCAGCACUUCCUUUUCUCCUAUCCUGUGAUUCUCCUGAUCACGACUCAGCAUCCAUUUGGCCGAAGCUGAUUUCCAAAAGCAGGAAUCUGUGGAGUUGGACUGAGGGGAAUGAACCGUGAGGGAGCUCCCGGGAAGAGUCCGGAGGAGAUGUACAUUCAGCAGAAAGUUCGGGUCUUGCUCAUGCUGAGGAAGAUGGGAUCAAAUCUGACAGCCAGUGAGGAAGAAUUCCUGCGGACGUAUGCAGGGGUAGUGAGCAGCCAGCUGAGCCAGCUCCCAUCACACUCCAUCGACCAGGGUGCAGAGGACGUGGUCAUGGCGUUUUCCAGGUCGGAGACAGAAGACAGGCGGCAAUAGCUACAGCGCAACCUGGAACCCACUGGAAGUCAACGAGGGCCAUGCAAGCUCUGGGAAGCUGGCUGCCUGCACCGGUCCCCUGCCCUUCCCUCCUCCCCACUCUUCAUGCCCCUAACUCCCUCUCCCCUGCCCUGGGAAGCACCUCCCAGCCCACUACCCAGCUGGCUGUGUUAGCGAGGGGGAGACCAGUGGUGCACAUGGGAUUGGCUCAAAGGGAUGGACUUUGUAAUUGGCUACAGGGAGAAAUCUUUUUAUUUUUUAAAACCUGACCAAUGGAAACCUUUUCUUUUUAUUUCUGCCUCUUUCACCACCUCAUCCCUUUUCUUGCUGUCUGGGCAUAGAACUUCCCAGGAAGCUCUCCUAUGCCUUGGUGCUUUAUUUAGGUCAUUUUUAGCAAUGUGAAAAGGUUUUGAUUGGCUGCCUAAAACUGGAAACAACUCUUGAUUGGCUGGUGAAAAGAAAACGCUUCUCUCUUUGAUUGGUUUCAGGUAUUCUGCUGAUCUCAACAGCUUGAUUCUAAGUAAAGAGAAUAGGGGUUGGGGCAUUGGCUGUUACAUUUGACUUGAAAAAAAAAAUACAAAACUAAGUGUGCUUUGCGAUAUUUAUUACACAAAGAGCUGCUGCUGCUUUUAAAUUUUAUUUUUGAAUUCGAUUGGCUUAUGGUCGAUGUGUUUGUUUUCCUGCUGGCUCUAGUGGCCAUAGAUUUACCCCCAAAAAACUACAUCCACAAAACCCUACCACCUCUGCUGCUUGAAAUCUCUGGUCCCAGGGGAAGCCAACUCAAGAAUCUAUUUACAUUAAUAAUUACACCUGCCCUCCCUGGAGCUGGAAAUAUAAAAGGCUCCUGGGCGAGGCCACAGCUGCAAACCAGGACCCAGGACAGACUGGAUAUCAGCUCUGUAAGAGUCAGAGUUAAGCGGUCACCAAGAGCUGAGGUGUGUGAGUGUGUGCCCGUGUGCCCGUGUCAUGUACAUGCACACACUCACACGUGCCACCCGCCACUCUUUGUAGGGUUAUGAUGUUGCUGGAAAAAAUACAGGGCCCCCCUGCCCCUAAAACCUUGUUUGUUCUGCAGCCUGAAAGCUUCUGGCUUGGAGGGAGCUUCUCUGUCCUUGUUUAGAGACUGCUGCUGCUUCUAAGUAGGGAAAAAGAAGCCCCAGGAGGCCCCUAGGCCCUUCCCUCAGGCACUUGGGAGGAGAUGGGGCUCAACUCACAGGUCCUGAGGAUGCCUUUGUGCACCCCCUUUUCUUUCCCCUCCCGUGGGUUUCUACUGCCCCAACCUACACUGACCAUCUUGCAGUCCCGAGUGUCCUCCUCCCACUCACCCCCCACAGUUCUCCCAGCCCCUUUUAAAAGCCUACAUGUUGAAAAGAAAGUCAUCAACCAUAAUUGCCAAACGUUCUGCCAGCUGGGGAGGGCCAGUCUGGCAGGCCCCUACCAAGGCCUUCUCCUAGCUUGGCAGGUAGGGCCGGCCUCAGCUCCCAUUUGUUAAUUCUCCACCUGGGCCCCUGAGCCAGGGGCUGGGGUGGAGGAAGCAGGGAAUCCUUAGUGCCAAAUCCCUGCAGGCAGUGUCAAAACAGAAGCUCCCACCCACCCUUCCCUCCCUCGAGGGGCCCCUGCACCCCCAUCUCUCCUGCCUGCCUUCCCGUGGCAUGCACAGGACUGUACUUUGAAGCAGGUAAACAGGAAACGUUGCCACGUUCAUAUGAAGCUUUUCUUGGGAAAGAGGAAAUCUUAUCUCUGUUCCCAAACAAACCCCAAGUUUUUAAUAAGGGGUCUAGCUCUAACCCUGUGCCCAGGGAGUGGAUGAGACUUUCUGAGCCAAACAGGACUUACUGCCCAAGGGCUUGGGGCCAACCGACAGCCACCAAGGCAUGAGGGGGCAGUUGCAGAGUGCCAACGGUUUAAUGACCUCCAGCAUGUGCAGAAAGGGCCCUCGGAGCAUUCUGCUGCCUGUGACCAAUUAGGAGUGCUAAUGAGGUCGCCUGAUCUGCCGUCCCAAUUCCUUUAAGGUUAGUUAGUCUGUACAAUAUAAACCUUCACAGCCACACCAAACAGCCCCCAGACCCAGCCAGGCUGCCUGGCCAUGUUGCCAAUGGCUGGUGGACAAAGGACCCAGCAGGGAGGAGAUGGUGGGGGUGUCCCAUAAGGCUGGGCACCCCUCCCUUUGGUGGAUACCUUGGUAGUGGGUCCGUAGCAAUGUCUUCCCUACAAAGGACCAGCCCCCAACUCCAGUGUCAUCAGCCGGAGUCCCAAUCGUUGGGCAAAAGGUGAACAACAGCCCCUGACACCCCGGGGUCCCCGUCCUGGCUUCUGUCACGGUGUUGCCCGCUGUGCUCCUGGCCAGCCUGCAGCGCCCAUCGAGGGUCCGAGCCCAGGUGGCGUAGCCAUGUGUUUGUCUGCGGCCCCAGGCCUGUCAAGCUAACAUGCAUCUCUCUUGUGUCCCCGAUGAUAACUCUGACCUGUCUAUCUUCUGAAGAAGAAAAGUGAAAGUGUUUCUGUGGUUUAAUCUUUUAACUAAAAAUGUAACUCUUGGGGAAAAAAUAACAAUAAAGGUUUUUAAUAGCUUGUCAUGGAUUGGACUGAGCCGGUUUCUUUCAGGGAGCUAGUUAUGCACAUUUCUUAA
ensembl:lncRNA